CUACCCUUGACAUGCCAGGAAGUUGGCCGAGAGGUCGAUGUGCCCGAAAGGGAACCUGGACACAGGUGCUGCAUGGCUGUCGUCAGCUCGUGUCGUGAGAUGUUGGGUUAAUGUCCCGCAACGAGCGCAACCCUUGUCAUUAGUUGCUACAUUCAGUUGGGCACUCUAAUGAGACUGCCGGUGACAAACCGGAGGAAGGUGGGGAUGACGUCAAGUCCUCAUUGGCCCUUAUGGGUAGGGCCUCACACGUCAUACAAUGGCGCAUACAGAGGGUUGCCAACCUGCGAGGGGGAGCCAAUCCCAGAAAGUGCGUCGUAGUCCGGAUUCGGAGUCUGCAACUCGACUCCGUGAAGUCGGAAUCGCUAGUAAUCGCGGAUCAGCAUGUCGCGGUGAAUACGUUCCCGGG
rnacentral:rRNA from 1 species